GCAAAGCUUUUGAUCCGUAAGCCCGGAUCUUCAUCAGUGCUAAUAAUAUGUUUACAUAAUAUUAGCACUGAUGAAGAUCCGGGCUUACGGAUCGAAAGCUUU